rnacentral:rRNA from 1 species
GCCGUCCCCUUCCCGUCCCGGUCCCGACCUACCUACGAACGUACCCUUAACCCGGGUAACGGGGACCGGAACGGCGAGUGGGGAAGGUACGUUGUCGGCCAAUGGCGGAAGGACCNGACGCAGCAACGCCGCCGUGAGGGAGUGAAGGUCUUCGGGUUGGUUAAACCUACUUUCUAAGCAGGGACGGAUAAUGACGGUACCUGCAGAAGAAGCUCCGGCCAACUACGUGUCAGCCGCCGCGGUAAUAC